GAGACAAUAGUAUUAAAAAUGGAAAAACACCUUCCUGCCAGAAUGAGUUGCAGGUUCAAGUCCUGCUUGUCUUC
rnacentral:tRNA from 1 species